GAAAUGCGAUACUUGGUGUGAAUUGCAGAAUCCCGUGAACCAUCGAGUCUUUGAACGCAAGUUGCGCCCCAAGCCUUUUGGUCAAGGGCACGUCUGCUUGGGUGUCACAAAUCGUCGUCCCCCAUCCUUCAUGGAUAUUGGACGGAAGUUGGUCUCCCGUGUGUUACCGCACGCGGUUGGCCCAAAUAUGAGCAAAGAACGUUGGGAAUGUCUUGACAUGCGGUGGUGAAAUCAAGCCUCAUCAUUCUGUCAACCGUUCUUGUUCUAUUGUUUUUGAUGACCCAAGUCCUCUAUGCGACCCCAGGUCAGGCGGGAUCACCCGCUGAGUUUAA
rnacentral:misc_RNA from 1 species